GGAAACGUGGCAGAGCGGCCAUUGCAGCUGUCUGGAAGACAGUAGGGCUGAAAGGUCCCGUGAGUUCGAGUCUCACCGUUUCCGCCA
rnacentral:tRNA from 2 species